AGCAGCCGCGGUAAUUCCAGCUCCAAUAGCGUAUAUUAAAGUUGCUGCAGUUAAAAAGCUCGUAGUUGAAUUUCGGGACCGAUAUAUCGGUCGUGCCUCGGUACGUACUGGUAUUUUCGGUUUCUACCUUCUGACGAACCUUGAUGUCAUUAAUUUGGUGUCUUGGGGAAUCAGGACUGUUACUUUGAAGAAAUUAGAGUGUUUAAAGCAGGCUCACGCUUGAAUACAUUAGCAUGGAAUAAUGAAAUAGGACGUUUGAUUCUAUUUUGUUGGUUUCUAGGAUCGACGUAAUGAUUAAUAGGGAUAGUUGGGGGCAUUAGUAUUCAAUUGUCAGAGGUGAAAUUCUUGGAUUUAUUGAAGACUAACUACUGCGAAAGCAUUUGCCAAGGAUGUUUUCAUUAAUCAAGAACGAAAGUUAGGGGAUCGAAGACGAUCAGAUACCGUCGUAGUCUUAACCAUAAACUAUGCCGACUAGGGAUCGGAUGAUGUUAAUUUUUAAUGACUCAUUCGGCGCCUUAAC
rnacentral:rRNA from 1 species